CCACUACACUGUGCCUGCCUAUUAGCAUUUAUUGAUGCAUGUGUUUGUAUGUUUAAAUUCCAUCUGUGCAUCUGAAUCCUCAGAAAAUUGUUUCUCUUUAAUCUAGAAUCUUAGACUUAGCACUGCAGUUCCCCUCAUUUGAAACUCCCAGACCAGGAUCCAAACCUUGGUACUUAAAAAAAAAAAUGUAUGAGUAUUUGUGUGUGUUGGUGUGGGAUGCAUGCAAGUGAGUGCAGGUGCCUAGAGAGGCUAGAAGAGAGGAUCAGUGCCUAAGGACUGGAGCUCUAGGCAUCUGUGAGCUGUCUGACUGAGUGAUGGGAACUGAACUUGGGUCCUCUGAAAGAGUCAAGCACUCUUAACCAUGCAGCCAUCUCUCCAGACCCCAAACUGGGGACGCUUUUAGAUAAAAUCUUUCGUUUAGCUAUGGGUUAGUUUGUAGGGGCUAUCAUAACAAUUAUAGAGAAGACUGAGAAGGAAAAACCAAGCAAUUCUUUUAGCCUCUACAUCAGUAGUUCUCACUCUUCCUACUGCUGCGACCCUUGAAUACAGUUCCUUGUGUUGUAAUGACCCUCAACCAUGACAUUAUUUUCCUUGCUACUUCACAACCGUAAUGAUGCUACUCUUAUGGCUUCUAAUGUAAAUGUCUGUGUUUUCAGUUAUGGUUUAUGGUGACCCAUGUGAAAGGGUCAUUUGAGAUCCACCCCUCCUAAAAAAAAAGGGUCAUGAUUUACAAGCUGAGAGGUGUUGCUUUUUACAGGUAUUUUCUGAAGAGUGGUCCUUUGGCAUCUAAUCCCAGAACUCAAGAGGAGGAAACAGUUGUCAUAUUCAAAUUGAAGAAGCUCUAGAAGUCUGCCCCAUUUUAAACCUCUCCGGUUUUCCAUCCGAGAAACUUCAGAGACUUAAAGAAGUUUGUGGUUUGGAUCUGAAGUGUCCCUCAUAGACUACUGUGUUGAAGACUUGGUUCCCACCCAGUGCCACUAUUUUGGGAGGCUGUGGAAACCUGAGAAGGCCAGGCCUGUUUGGAGGAAGUAGGUCAGUGGAGGAGCGCCCCUAAAGGUCAUUGCUGACUCCUUGUCGUCUUCACACUCCGCCUCCUGCUCACCACGAGGUGAUAAACCUCUCCUGCUCCAUGCUUCUGCUACCAUGACAUUUUGGUCUAAAUUCAUGGAGCACAGUAGCCAUGGAGGAGUGACCCUCUAAAACUGAGAGCCAAGGGGCUGCUGAGAUGGCUCAGCGGUUAAGAGCACCAACUGCUCUUCUAAAGGUCCUGAGCUCAGAUCCCAGCAACCACAUGGUGGCUCACAACCAUCUGACUCUCUCUUCUGGUGUGUCUGAAGAAAGCUACAGUGUACUUACAAUAAAUAAAUAAAUAAAUAAAUAAAUAAAUAAAUAAAUACAUC
rnacentral:lncRNA from 1 species